GACGUAGGGUGCAAGCGUUGUCCGGAAUUAUUGGGCGUAAAGAGCUCGUAGGCGGUUUGUCGCGUCUGCCGUGAAAGUCCGGGGCUCAACUCCGGAUCUGCGGUGGGUACGGGCAGACUAGAGUGAUGUAGGGGAGACUGGAAUUCCUGGUGUAGCGGUGAAAUGCGCAGAUAUCAGGAGGAACACCGAUGGCGAAGGCAGGUCUCUGGGCAUUAAUUGACGCUGAGGAGCGAAAGCAUGGGGAGCGAACAGG
rnacentral:rRNA from 1 species